rnacentral:misc_RNA from 1 species
CCAAACUUGGUCAUUUAGAGGAAGUAAAAGUCGUAACAAGGUUUCCGUAGGGUGAGUUAAUUCCUGCUUAUAUAUUUUUCAGUACUAACAAUUUCCAGUGAACCUGCGGAAGGAUCAUUACCGAGUAAUCCUGCUCUGCAGGAACUCCCACCCUUGAUUACAAUGGCGUUGCUUCGGCGAGACGUUGGAAACAGCCAUCGACCCUGUCGAUGUGUGCUCGCCGGAGUUCUAACUCUUGAAAUUAUGUGGAGUCAGAGAAAACAAGCAAUAUAUAAAAACUUUCAACAACGGAUCUCUUGGUUUUGGCAUCGAUGAAGAACGCAGC